rnacentral:rRNA from 1 species
AGAGUUUGAUCCUGGCUCAGAACGAACGCUGGCGGCGUGCCUAACACAUGCAAGUCGAACGGAGAUAAGGGGCUUGCUCCUUAUCUUAGUGGCGCACGGGUGAGUAACGCGUGGAUAAUCUGCCUUGGAAUCUGGGAUAACAUCUCGAAAGGGGUGCUAAUACCGGAUAAGACCACGAGCUCUUCGGAGUUUGCGGUAAAAGGGGGCCUCUGUAUAUGCUUCUGUUUCAAGAUGAGUCCGCGUACCAUUAGCUAGUUGGCAGGGUAAUGGCCUACCAAGGCGACGAUGGUUAGCUGGUCUGAGAGGAUGAUCAGCCACACUGGAACUGAGACACGGUCCAGACUCCUACGGGAGGCAGCAGUGGGGAAUUUUGCGCAAUGGGGGAAACCCUGACGCAGCAACGCCGCGUGAGUGAUGAAGGCCUUCGGGUCGUAAAGCUCUGUCAGAGGGAAAGAAGUGU